CAGAAGAACUAUCCAGAAAGCCCCAAGGUGUGCACGGCAGCUCCCGAAGAUCCCAGAAUGUCUGGAGUCAUCAGAGGAUUCGAGGACAGCUGACUGCCAUCUUGAAGCCAUUCAUUGUAUCUCAAGCCAGACAUUUUAAGUCUUUUAUUUGGAUCAACGAAAAACAACAGAGAGAGAAAAUUACAGAGGACACCUAAGAAUUGACCAGGUUUAGUGGCUCUUCUAUGACACUCACCAAGAUGACACCCAAGCUCCACAGGUCACAGGACUCAUCAUAGCCAUUGUGAUUCAAGAGCUCCGGGGCUGCGUAAUGAAGGGUGAAGCACGGGGUCUUCAGGGGCUGAUUGUCAGGCGGCUUGAGGCGAGCAAACCCGAAAUCGAUAACUUUAAUUUCCAAAUUAUCAUUUUCAUCAGUGAACAAUAAAUUCUGUAAGAUACCAA